CAUGCAUGCCCGCACACCCGGGAGGCGGCGGACGGCUCAGGACAACGGUUGCACCCCCCGCGGCGGUCCCUGCUAGCCGGACACCGCUGGCAACCCGGCGCCAAGACGUGCGCGCAAGUGCGGGCGCCCGCGGGCGAGCAGCGUGACGCAGCGACGGCCCGCCCGGGCUUCCGGGGCAUCACCCGGUCGGCGCG
rnacentral:rRNA from 1 species